AUCCAACUGACGAGUCUCAAAUAGGAUGAAACGCCAGUCCAACUGGAU
rfam:Schistosoma rodhaini strain Burundi genome assembly, scaffold: SROB_scaffold0005205